rfam:Oryza sativa (indica cultivar-group) chromosome 6, whole genome shotgun sequence.
AAAAAGACAAACCCUGGGUUUCCGUGUCCAACGUUUGACUGUCCGUCUUAUAUGAUUUCAUUAUAUAAUUAGUAUUUUCAUUGUUCAUUAGAUGAUGUAACAUGAAUGAUACAUGAUGAGUGACUUGUCUUUUUAGUUUUUUUCAUAAUUUUAUCAUAUAAGACGGACGGUCAAACGUUGGACACGGAAACCCAGGGUUUGUCUUGUU